ensembl:lncRNA
GAGAGAGGUAAACAGGAGGAGAGGGGGCAGUAGAUACUGAGGAGGGAGAGGUAAACAGGAGGAGAGGGGGCAGUAGAUACUGAGGAGAGAGGUAAACAGGAGGAGAGGGGGCGGUAGAUACUGAGGAGAGAGGCAAACAGGAGGAGAGGAGACUGCAGGACAGGAGGGAGAUGGCUGGAGGACAGGAGACUGCAGGAUAGGGGGGAGAUGGAGAGAGGACAAGAGACUGCAGAACAGGAGAAGGGAGCCUUGCGUGCCUGACUGAGGAAAAACUGCAACCACUCACCCUUCAAGGCCUGUUUGAUGAUGGUGUGUGUGCUAUGUGUGUGUGUUUUCCUGUCUGUGUACACAGUUGUGAAGACUCGAGUCUCCUGCUAUAGUUAGCCCAGCCCACUAAACCACAUAACCACUGAACCGGAAGACAUUGUGUUAUGCACCGCCAGAGCCACGGGAACACACACACAUUCAUGAUUCACACACUCCCUGCCAUACAUACACAUUCAUGAUUCACACACACACUCCCUGCCAUACAUACACAUUCAUG